CUCAUGGUUUCACGGUAUUGCAAUGAGAACAAUUUAAAACCCUUAGCGAGAAUCAAGUGGGGGACAAGUCUGGUGCCAGCACCCGCGGUAAUUCCAGCUCCACUAGCGUAUAUUAAAGUUGUUGCAGUUAAAAAGCUCGUAGUUGAACCUCUGUCUGGGGCUAGUUUUGGCUUUGGUCAGGCUAGUUCUAGGCAUCCGCCUACAAGACUUAGAGGGCAUUCAGUUGUUCACUAGGAGGAGUAGGCAUUUUACUUUGAAAAAAUUAGAGUGUUUAAGGCAGGCAAUCGCCCGCAUAUAUUAGCAUGGAAUAAUAGAAUAGGACACUUUUCCAUUUCGUUGGUUAUUGGAAUCGUGUAAUGAUUAAUAGGGACAGUUGUGGGCAUUUGUAUUUAAUUGUCAGAGGUGAAAUUCUUGGAUUUAUUAAAGACAAACUAACGCGAAAGCAUUUGCCAAGGAUGUUUUCAUUAAUCAAGAACGAAAGUUAGGGGAUCAAAGACGAUCAGAUACCGUCCUAGUCUUAACUAUAAACUAUUCCGACUCAAUGUUUGGCUGGCUUAUAUAACCAGUUGAGCGUUGUAUGAGAAAUCAAAGUCUUUAGGUUCUGGGGGGAGUAUGGUUGCAAAGCUGAAACUUAAAGGAAUUGACGGAAGAGCACAACAGGAGUGGAUUCUGCGGCUUAAUUUGACUCAACACGGGGAAACUUACCAGGUUAAAACAAUAGUGGGAUUGACAGUUUGAGAGCGCUUUCUUGAUUGGUUGGGUGGUGGUGCAUGGCCGUUCUUAGUUGGUGGAGUGAUUUGUCUGCUUAAUUGCGUUAACGAACGAGACCUUAACCUGCUUACUAGACUGGCGAUCAUCAAUCGUUAGCUCUUCUUAGAGGGACUUUGGUUGUUUUAACUCCAAGGAAGUUUGAGGCAAUAACAGGUCUGUGAUGCCCUUAGAUAUCCUGGGCCGCACGCGUCAUACAAUGACUAGUUCAGAAAGUUUUCUCCUGACCCGAAAGGGGAUGGGUAAUCUUGAUAAUACUAGUCGUGUUAGGGAUCGAUCUUUGCAAUUAUAGAUCUUGAACGAGGAAUUCCUAGUAAGUGCGGUUCAUCAGACCGUACUGAUUACGUCCCUGCUCUUUGUACACACCGCCCGUCGCUUCUACCGAGUGGGUGGUCCGGUGAGAUAAUUGAACUUCGCAGGUAACUGAGAGGAAAGAUUAUCAAACCUAUCCACCU
rnacentral:rRNA from 1 species